AUACAAUUGCCUUUACCAUCAAAGGGCCACAGUAUUGGAGGUAGGAUGUUUGUUGGACUUUGAUGCGUGACUGUGACAGUCCUGAGGCUCUCAACCCAUCACCACCACCUUGGAUGAAUCAAAACAUUUCUAAGCAUAAAAAGACUUUGUUCUCAUUUUAUUCUGGAUCCAAGCAAACAACAAAAAAAAAUGGAGAUGUGGGACAAGGCUGAGCCCUUCCAGACACCCACAAAACAGAUGCUUUUUUUAAAAAAAGGCAAGAAAAUGCUAGGACACAUUAUAUUUUGGCUGACUUGGCUUGCUCAUUAUUUGGUAACUGUACCUAGAUUGUGAUCUACCAUUGGAUCAUGAGAUUUGGUGCUGAAAGAGCAAAACUGGUGUCCUCUGUGGGCCGGCUUCCUCAAAAAUAAAUGGACCGUCAUCCCUCCCAAUUUCUUAGAACCAUGAUCGGGGUUAAAAAAGGCAGUGAAUGUGAACACACUGUCAAAUCAUAAAGCAUUACACUCAUGUCAGACUACUAGAAAAUUCUGAAUUACAUAUGUGGCUCGCAUUAUUUCUUUAUUGGACGGUGCAAUCCUCAUCAGAUGGCAGAGAUCAUUACCUUUGCCCAACGUUACAUCAUGACUCCUGGAUUCUCAUAAUGAAAAGAAAACAAAAACAACAAAUAACUGAGGAGUUCAUCAGCAAAACAGAUUUUGGAAUCUCCCAUGCCAUGCAUCUUAAUUUCUUGUUUCAUCUUGGAACGUGAACUUAUCAUGGAAUGAGCAUAUGUGCUCAUCUCAUGAAUCCUCACUGAAUGUCAAGGAUUUUUCCUGUGCUUGAAAUGAAAAGCCCAUGAACCAGGCUUGGGAGUUACACAGCCGGGGACAGCAUGCCACAUGCUACUACAGACCUCAGAGAUGCUGUGCCCCAUCCUUCCACUGGGCACAGACAGUGCAUCUUGCACCAUCAACACCCUGAGGCUGGACAGUGGAUGAUUCUUCUAGAACCUCUCCAACUGCUGCAUCUGAACACCAGCUGUGGCUUUCUGCACUCUAACUGUAGCUUCAAGGUGGCUUGGGAACGGAGCAGCAGGCUUUUAUAGAGAGAAGUAAGGAUUCACAAGGUGGGGAAUUCCCUCCAAAUAGGAUGAAUGUUCAAAAGUGCUACUGGUCCAAAAGGAAUGACAAACUGGGAUCCAGAAGCCCAGGAUUCUAAUCUCACUUUUCCAGAAUUUGGGCAAAUUACCUAAUCUUUUCAAAGUUACUGUUAGAAAUUGAGGCUUCAGACCUCCCAUCAGCCUUGUUUAGCCACAACUUUACCACAUUUUAUAUUCUUCACCUAUAAAAUGGAGAAAUGUACCUCCAAGACUUAUUUUGUGAAUGGAAUGCUUUUAGAUUGUUAUGAAAACGUGUUAAUACUAUUGUUAUCACAAAAUGGGCAUGAUACUAUUUUCCCAUGCACAAAACCUUUGAUAAUGAGAUAAACAUUACAUGGAAGUCUUUUGAAUUUUAAAAAAAGUUGGACAAAUACAAGGAGUAGAUUUUUUAAUCACUUGUGUGAGAAAUAAAAGUGUAGAAUACUUAAAUAUAAUUAAAAUUUGCAAGGAUUUAGUACUGUUGUUGGUGAAAUUGUUUGGAAAAUGUUUGAUCUUUGUUUUCCUUUUCUGCUAUGGUGAUAAAUGCAGUUUAUGUGCAAAUAUUGGUGGCCAUGAGUGACCUAUUCCCAAAUGAAAGGGACCACAUGAUUGUCCUUGUUCCUUUCUAUUUCCCUGUUUAUUUGUCUGGCAGGGCCUUGGUUCUCCUUGUUUUUCAAAACAAAAUGUAAAACAUAAAAUGUACAAAAUAAAAAAGAUUGCAAAUGACAAAAGCCCUCAAAAAUACUUA
ensembl:lncRNA